UCCUGGCUCAGGAUGAACGCUAGCUACAGGCUUAACACAUGCAAGUCGAGGGGGAAACGAUAUUGGAAGCUUGCUUCUGAUAGGCGUCGACCGGCGCACGGGUGAGUAACGCGUAUCCAACCUGCCCAUCACUUGGGGAUAACCUUGUGAAAGUAAGACUAAUACCCAAUGACGUCUCUAGAAGACAUCUGAAAGAGAUUAAAGAUUUAUCGGUGAUGGAUGGGGAUGCGUCUGAUUAGCUUGUUGGCGGGGUAACGGCCCACCAAGGCGACGAUCAGUAGGGGUUCUGAGAGGAAGGUCCCCCACAUUGGAACUGAGACACGGUCCAAACUCCUACGGGAGGCAGCAGUGAGGAAUAUUGGUCAAUGGACGAGAGUCUGAACCAGCCAAGUAGCGUGCAGGAUGACGGCCCUAUGGGUUGUAAACUGCUUUUAUAAGGGAAUAAAGUGGGAGUCGUGACUCUUUUUGCAUGUACCUUAUGAAUAAGGACCGGCUAAUUCCGUG
rnacentral:rRNA from 1 species